AGACACUCCCCACCACCCUACCCUCAGCUUUCACAGUGAAAUUAGGAGCAGUGUGUGGUAAGAGGAACGUCUGAGUCCCAGUCCCAGUCCUGAGAUCUCCGGUGAGGACUGCAUCUCCUAGAGGCCAUGUGACUUGCCCAAGGUGUCACAGCUCCUGACCAUGGAGCACGCCUGCCCCCGGGACACAAGGGCCAGAACCCUCAGCCACACAGGGUUGAAGCAGCCACAGUCUCCACGUGGCUCUCACAUUUUCCCAUUCAACCAUGUACUUGUUUGAUCUGCAUCACAAUCCUGGGAGCUCCUCAGGCAGGAUGGUCACGCCCACUUGUUGGAUGAAGAAAUUGAGGUCCCGGGAGAAGAAGCAACUUCACUGGAUCCAAACAGGGGUUGGGGGUUACUAGUAGAGGCAGGACUAGGGGCCUGGCUGCAGUGCUCAUGAGCACUGGAGAGAAGCUGAAGGCAGGGAUGCAGGCUGGGGGGCGAAUCAGGGAGGGCUGCCUGAAAGAGGUGGGCUGAAAGGCUGGCUUGGGAGGACUGAAAUAAUGAGGCCUGCUGAGAAAGGAGCUCAGAACUGAAGGGCAAGGUGAGUUCAGAUACAAAUGCCAAGAGGAAAGAAGGCUGCUUUCCGUGUGGAUGAUGCAGAUAAUCUGAGAUCCUCCAGGGGCCUGAGUCAGGGCCAAGGUUUAGAUGACAGCUGAGACCCUCGAGGUACUUAUCUAUCCUGGAGUGUGUCCUGUCUGCAAAUAGGUUAUUCAGACACCCUCACAUAGCACUCGCUGUGUGCCUGGCACCCCCGAACAGCUCUGUAGCACCUCAGGCUGUGAGAUAGGGAUUCUUGUUAGUGUCUGCCUUACAGGUGAGCUUAGGUCACUGGCCCCAGGACCCACAGCCCUGAAUGUUGCAGCUAGGGUCUGUGUGGCCACAAUGCUACCUUGCUGCUGCGUGCAACGGCCACUCCCCUGCCCUUCCCCUCCCCUCCCCUCCUGGGAGGUCACAUAGUGACAGCUGACAGCAGGAAGAUUCCACCCAGGCAGCCAUGUGUGGUCAUCCAGAAGUGUCCAACAUCAGCUCAGCCACCACACCUGACCACACUUGAGUCAGGGGUACAGGGCUGUCUGGGGACAUUGGAGAUCGAGCAUGUGGAGAUGGGUUCAAGCCCUGGGUUAGCCCUGUAAUGGCUGUGUGACCUCAGGUGAGCCACUUAAUUUCUCUGGGCUGCCCUUUCCUCCUGGGUCCUGUUUCCUGCCUGGGGCCAUGGGAUGUUUAAGUGGAUAAGGAUGCAUUUUACAAAACCAAGAUAGAUUAUUGUGAACCCGUGGGCAUCACUCUCACCACAAGGGCCUCCUGAUCUCGAGCAAUCCCCGGCGCAGCAAGAAGCUCUUCUUCCCUCCCCUGGCACAAUUUUUCGUGAACUAAAUCUCCCAGCAGACAAGUAAGUGAGAGCUAUGAUUGACUCAUCGUUGUCAAUAUUCCUCCCACUGUUUGCUGUCUCAGCAUCCCUGGGGAACCUGGGGAAUCGGCAAGAAAAAUUCCUGCCUGACUCUGAGAGCCCCAAGCCUUGCCAGGGUCUCAGGGUGCUUAGAAUCCUAGUAUGUCAGAGCUGGAUUCUUGAUGCCAUAAGGUUCAAUCCUUUUACUGGACAGAUGGGGAAGCUGAGGCCUGAAGGUACAUAAUGAUGACAAUAAUAAUAAUGACAGCAACACAACAACGUUUGUGUCAAUGCUUUCAGCUGCAGAUGGUGAGAAGAAAAUCCACAUCAGACUGGCUUCAGCACAAAGGUGGGAGGCAUUAGCAUAGGUGACAGAAAAAUCAGAGUAGGACUUCAGGAAUGGCUUGAUCAAGAGCUCAAAAAAUGUCACCUGGUCCCACUUUUACUCUGUCCCAGAGUCUGCUGUGGUUCUGCCCCAUUGGCUUCAUCCUCAGGCACAGUGUGGUGGCAAAUGGCCGCGGCAGCCUGUCUGUCCCCCGAGGUUCAAUAUCAGAGACAAAGAGCUUGUGCCUCAGUCCCAGCAUUCCCAACCAGUGUUUUGUUGCACUCCGUUGGCUCUUAUGGGCCAUGUGAUCAUCCUUGAGCCAAUUUAGUAUAAUACCCUGACUAGCUGGGGCCUGGGGUGAAGCCCCACUCAGAACCACAGACUGAAUGUGGAAAGGGAGGAUCUCCCCCAAAUCAAGGGCUGUUGCUGAAAUAAGAGGACAUGGUUACUGGGGAGACAAAAAGCUGGCGCCCAUUAGCACACACUCCUGGAAGGAGCACACACCAUACCCAGGUGCUGUGCUAGGCACUUGGCAUUUGUUUCCACAACUCUCCCCAGCAAGCAGCCAGGUGGGCAUCCUUACCAAGGAGGAAACUGAAGUCAGAAAGUGAGAGACCCACCCAACACACAGUGAGAAAGGUUCAGGGUCAUCACUCAGAGCACAUGACAGAACAGGUACUCCUGGGGGCAACGGGGGAUGAGUCCACUGGGAACUCUAAGAGUUAUAGAGCUUGCCUCUGAGCCACCCACCUGUGGAGUGGGGCCCUGGGGUGCAUGUCCUCCAAGUCCUCACCCACCCUUGGCUGAAGACUAUCUGCCCGGCACGCAGGCUCAGGGAAGCCCUCAGAUGGAGUCACAGGCACUUGUCUGUAUAUUCCAGUGGUUUGGUCCAGGGUGGGGAGUGUUGAGGGAUGCAGAUGGGACGCGGACAGCAUCGCUAAGGUCUAUGUCCAACAGGGGGUGGUGAUCUGCCCCCUCCUUUCCAGUCAUGCCCACCCCACCAUAGAGCUGCUAAUCUGAUUCAUCGGGGUCCAUGUGCUAAUUGGGCCCAGGUAAUGGAAGGGCAGGGCCACUGUGCUGCAAGGCCAGGGCCCCACAGAGCUUUCUCUUCCACUUUCGGCACUGCCACAUGGCGGGCAGAUAAAGGCCAGACCCUACUCUUCUUUCCCACCUUGUCCAAAAAAGCACUGAGUGGUUAAGUUAGGCCAGAGGCUGCACGCUCAGCCCUGGGGUCUCCUCUUCCUGAACUUCCUUUCUCUUUGUGGUCAGCCAGAGAUGAACCUAUCUCAAAACUCAUAUAGGGGCCAGGCACAGUGGCUCACACCUGUAAUCUCAGCACUUUGGGAGGCUGAGGUGGGUGGAUCACCUGAGGUCAGGAGUUCGAGACCAGCCUGGCCAACAUGGUGAAACCCCGUCUCUACUAAAAAUACAAAAAUUAGCCGAGUGUGGUCGCGGGUGCCUGUAAUCCCAGCUACUCGGGAGGCUGAGGCAGGCGAAUCACUUGAACCCAGGAGGCGGAAGUUGCAGUGAGCCGAGAUCGCACCACUGUACUCCAGCCUGGGUGAUAGAGCAAGACUCUGUCUCAAAACAAACAAACAAAAAAACAAACUCAUAUAAGAAUGAGGUAGGAGGCCCCAUCUAAACUUUGAGCCUCAGCUAGAAACUUCUGUAUCUGAGUAUGGAGACAGAAGUGACUUUAUCUUGGAUGUGAAUCUGCCAUGUUGAUUUCUGAUUAGCCCCAGGACUGUGAAUGUCUCCUGAUUCCUUUUUUUUUUUUUUUUACUAUCCCUGGGGCAAGAGCAUGUCUAUCUUGAUGUCAUUGCACAAAUCAUAGGCUAUGCUGCACGUAGUGCUCUGGCCUAUUCUGGAGGGCUGCCUUUGACUGUCUUGCUAGAACACUUAGCCUUUCCCUAUGGUUUACAAGCUUUGGGUCUUGGGGGUAAAAGUGUGGAGGUCUGCUGUCUAGUCAUAGAUAAGCUUUGGGUGUUGGGGGUAACAGUGUGGCGGUCUGCCUGUCUGGUGGCUGUUCAAGACCAUGCUUCUGUCUGUAAAUUUGCUAAUAAAACACUCUUUACUGACAAAC
rnacentral:lncRNA from 1 species